rnacentral:rRNA from 1 species
UACGGAGGGUGCAAGCGUUAUCCGGAUUCACUGGGUUUAAAGGGUGCGUAGGUGGGCAAGUAAGUCAGUGGUGAAAUCUCCGGGCUUAACCCGGAAACUGCCAUUGAUACUAUUUGUCUUGAAUACUGUGGAGGUCAGCGGAAUAUGUCAUGUAGCGGUGAAAUGCUUAGAUAUGACAUAGAACACCAAUUGCGAAGGCAGCUGGCUACACAAAUAUUGACACUGAGCACGAAAGCGUGGGGAUCAAACAGGA